UUCACAACGAGUAAAUAGCAGCUCGAAGCAUAGGCCCGCAGCUGCAGAGCCAGCAGCCAUGACCCGGUGAGACCACGGCGCUGGGUGCGGGCAGCCCGGGAGGGACCUCUAGGGAAGGGAAGUCCAGAGGAAAAAGGAUGUCAAAGUCCAGCUGUCCAGUGUCAUCACAUUCAGAUUCUGCCAUGACCUGUGCACAACACACACUCUACGACUCCAAAGGCCCGGAGAUUGGGAUGCCAAGAUUCACCAUGCGAGUAUGUUUUGCCAUUUGAAACACAAACUACAGAAGAAAAGAAAAAGAAGAAAAUGUUCAAGUGGAA